rnacentral:rRNA from 1 species
UGCAAGUCGAGCGGUCCAGCACACAAUUUCGGUUGAGUGCUGGGUAGCGGCGGACGGGUGAGUAACGCGUGGGCAACCAACCUUGAUCAGGGGGACAACAUUGGGAAACCAGUGCUAAUACCGCAUAGCUCUACCGGGUGGCAUCAUCGGGUAGAGAAAGAUUCAUCGGAUCAAGACGGGCCCGCGUCUGAUUAGCUGGUUGGUGAGGUAACGGCUCACCAAGGCAAUGAUCAGUAGCCGACCUGAGAGGGUGACCGGCCACACUGGAACUGAGACACGGUCCAGACUUCUACGGGAGGCAGCAGUGGGGAAUAUUGCGCAAUGGGCGAAAGCCUGACGCAGCAACGCCGCGUGAGGGAAGAAGGCCCUCGGGUCGUAAACCUCUGUCAGGAGGGAAGAAUGUCAUGGAUUCGAAUAGGGUCUGUGUUUGACGGUACCUCCAAAGGAAGCACCGGCUAACUCCGUGCCAGCAGCCGCGGUAAUACGGAGGGUGCGAGCGUUAUUCGGAAUUACUGGGCGUAAAGGGCGUGUAGGCGGCCUUGUAAGUCAGGUGUGAAAUCCCACGGCUCAACCGUGGAACUGCACUUGAAACUGCUUGGCUCGAGUACGGGAGAGGGCGGCGGAAUUCCCGGUGUAGGAGUGAAAUCCGUAGAUAUCGGGAGGAACACCAGUGGCGAAGGCGGCCGCCUGGACCGUAACUGACGCUGAGACGCGAAAGCGUGGGGAGCAAACAGGAUUAGAUACCCUGGUAGUCCACGCUGUAAACGAUGGAUGCUAGGUGUCGGCGAGCAAUCGUCGGUGCCGUA